UACGAAGGGGGCUAGCGUUGCUCGGAAUUACUGGGCGUAAAGGGCGCGUAGGCGGCACUGUUAGUCCGGCGUGAAAGUCCUGGGCUCAACCUGGGAACUGCGCUUGAUACGGCAGAGCUAGAGGAUGGAAGAGGGUCGCGGAAUUCCCAGUGUAGAGGUGAAAUUCGUAGAUAUUGGGAAGAACACCGGUGGCGAAGGCGGCGACCUGGUCCAUUACUGACGCUGAGGCGCGACAGCGUGGGGAGCAAACAGG
rnacentral:rRNA from 1 species